rnacentral:rRNA from 1 species
AACGAACGCUGGCGGCAUGCCUAACACAUGCAAGUCGAACGAGACCUUCGGGUCUAGUGGCGCACGGGUGCGUAACGCGUGGGAACCUGCCUUUAGGUUCGGAAUAACACCCCGAAAGGGGUGCUAAUACCGGGUAAUGUCUUCUGACCAAAGAUUUAUCGCCUUUGGAUGGGCCCGCGUUGGAUUAGCUAGUUGGUAGCGUAAAAGCCUACCAAGGCGACGCUCCAUAGCUGGGCUGAGAGGAUGAUCAGCCACACUGGGACUGAGACGCGGCCCAGACUCCUAGGGGAGGCAGCAGUGGGGAAUAUUGGACAACCGGGGAAAGCAUGAUCCAGCAAUGCCGCGAGAGUGAUGAAGGCCUUAGGGUUGUAAAGCUCUUUUACCCGGGAUGAUAAUGACAGUACCGGGAGAAUAAGCGCCGGCUAACUCCGUG